UGACGACAUCUCGCCAAAUGGCCAUUCAGAAGCAAACUGCUCGUCGAAUAGACUGGGUCGAUUGCGGUUUCGAUUUUUAAAACUUGAAACAUUAUUGUUCUGAAUUUGAAAAUUGAUUGAAUUUGUUUAUCGUAUUGUGACAAGCUGCCAGUGUGAUAGUUGUUUGAUUCUGGAUUUCGCACGAGAAACCGUUUUUGUUUUACCACCAUGUCUUCAAAGAGCUCCAAGCAGACCUUCGGCCGGUCACUCUCCCAGAAUGACACAGCAUUAUCGGCAAGGGUCUACCACCCCGCCACAAACCUAAUGCCGGCGACACCACCAACGUCACCUACUGGGGUUGCCCCCAACUUCCCUCCCCGGUACCCCAACAUGGGCUCGCGCGGCCAGCAAAACAGUUACAACAAAUCUUGGUAGCACACAUCGGAUCUUUGGAUGGAUAUAUCAAGACGAAUGUCGAACCUCCACAGCGAGAACUAAUUAUGGAGGAUAAUUGAAAAUUUGUAAAUAUGAUAGGAAAUGUAAAUAUAGAUUUAGGGCUUGCGGGCUUUGGAAUGCCUGUAGGGAAUGCAAGAAGGGCAUAGUCACUUUUAGAACUAAAGAUUGACGGUUGACCACGCCAACAAUAGGUAUGAGAAAGAGAUGCAUUUCAACCAAGAUUCCUCGCGUUUGGUGAAUAGAAAAUAAUAAUAAUGUCAUUUAAAAUCAGAGUCGUAGUACUACAGAAUACUGCAUGGAAGAUCAUGUUGGUAGUAUACGAUGCGAUUGUAAAAAAUCUCGGAAUUAAUAAAAAAUGUUCCGAUAAAAUUUCUUUUCUCUUUUUGGCAAAUUUUUAAAGCUGAAGAAACACGAAUGAACUUCGCUCUGGUACUUAACUGUAUCAGAGAGUGAGAGACGGUAAUCUUAAAGCAUUUAAUACUUCCCCUGAGUGAUCGAUUGAAUGAAAAGAAUGGAAGAUGUUCAGAAGCGAGUUAAAGAGUAAUGGGAGUGCAUGAAUUUGUGUUGAUUGAAUGCAAAUGAAUUCUUAGUUAAUUAUUGUACCUAAUAGUUAAUAUUUAGCGACUCUAAAUUAUCUCCUAGAGUCUAUUAUCUUUUCGCUUUCUAAUCUCAUUGCCGAUGUAUCGUCAAUAUCUAUGUAGUUGUGAAAUAUGUGUACAAUAUUGUAUAACUUUAUGAUUCACACAAUGUUGAUAGACAUUUCUUGUUUAAAAGAGGUUGAACAACCAGAUCAGAUAUAUAGUCCUUUGGUAAGACACUAGUUCUAAUUGUGUGAUGAUUUUAUGGUCUACUUUUUGGAUUUAAGUCCUUGUAAUUCUUGAUACUUAACCCAAAAUAUGUUUUUGAUCUGUAUCUGGACAAUGUGUGAUUAUUUUCUGUAUUUAUUUAGAUCAAUGUGUCUAUUAUUGUAACAUCUAUGGAUUUUUGUUGUAUGAAAUACAUUUUAUACUGUUCUCUUGUAAGCAAAAUGUAAGAAAACCAAAUAUAAAAUUAUGUAUGGCCA